rnacentral:rRNA from 1 species
CCUACGGGAGGCAGCAGUGGGGGAUAUUGCACAAUGGGGGAAACCCUGAUGCAGCGACGCCGCGUGUGGGAAGACGGUCCUCUGGAUUGUAAACCACUGUCCCCAGGGACGAAGAUGACGGUACCUGGGGAGGAAGCUCCGGCUAACUACGUGCCAGCAGCCGCGGUAAUACGUAGGGAGCGAGCGUUGUCCGGAAUUACGGGGUGGAAAGGGAGCGUGGGCGGGACUGCAAGUUGGGUGUCAAAUCUACCGGCUCAACCGGUAGCCGCACUCAAAACUGCAGUUCUUGAGUGAAGUAGAGGCAGGCGGAAUUCCUAGUGUAGCGGUGAAAUGCGUAGAUAUUAGGAGGAACACCAGUGGCGAAGGCGGCCUGCUGGGCUUUUACUGACGCUGAGGCUCGAAAGUGUGGGGAGCAAACAGGAUUAGAUACCCUAGUAGUC